UAGGGAAUCUUCCACAAUGGACGCAAGUCUGAUGGAGCAACGCCGCGUGAGUGAAGAAGGUUUUCGGAUCGUAAAGCUCUGUUGUUGGGGAAGAAGGAUAGAGGCAGUAACUGGUCUUUAUUUGACGGUAAUCAACCAGAAAGUCACGGCUAACUACGUGCCAGCAGCCGCGGUAAUACGUAGGUGGCAAGCGUUGUCCGGAUUUAUUGGGCGUAAAGCGAGCGCAGGCGGAAUGAUAAGUCUGAUGUGAAAGCCCACGGCUCAACCGUGGAACUGCAUCGGAAACUGUCAUUCUUGAGUGCAGAAGAGGAGAGUGGAAUUCCAUGUGUAGCGGUGGAAUGCGUAGAUAUAUGGAAGAACACCAGUGGCGAAGGCGGCUCUCUGGUCUGCAACUGACGCUGAGGCUCGAAAGCAUGGGUAGCGAACAGG
rnacentral:rRNA from 1 species